GGGAAAUGAGCUCAAGUGGUAAAGCGCUCGCUUAGCAUGUGAGCGGUACAUGGAUCGAUACCCUGAUUCUCCA
rnacentral:tRNA from 1 species